GGGCGGCAGCCGCGGCAGGGAACCCAAGUCCUGGAUACGGUAGAAACUAUGGCAGCGCUGAAGUGAGAUAUGGAGGAAGUUCAUAUCCUGAUCCUAAUGGCCUGCAGCAGGUUCGGAUUGGUGGUGUGAUUCUGCUCCUACAUUUUCAUCUGGAGCAAUGUCUAAUGGCCACCAUGACACUGCACAUAGAUGAGUUUCUUUCACCAUAACAGCCAAAAUCAUGAUAUUGUUUCACUGUGGGAACGUUACAAAUUCUAUAGGAAAUUUUUUGCUUUCACGGCUACAGAUGUUGUGCCUUCCAAAAAUUUGCCUUGUUUUAUAGCUUUUUUAGCCGGAUCCCUUCUUGGUAUUUUUUUCUAUCUGGGGAAUGCUUCGUCAUGCCAUGAAUGAUAGGUUAAUAGGGUCGCUUUACCUGGCCACUGGAAACUGUUUUAAUUUUCUUUUUUUAAUCAG